GACGAACGCUGGCGGCGUGCUUAACACAUGCCAGUCGAACGGAAAGGCCCUGCUUUUGUGGGGUGCUCGAGUGGCGAACGGGUGUGUAACACGUGAGUAACCUGCCCUUGACUUUGGUAUAACUUCAGGAAACUGGGGCUAAUACCGGAUAGGAGCUCCUGCUGCAUGGUCGGGGUUGGAAAGUUUCGGCGGUUGGGGAUGGACUCGCGGCCGCUCAGCUUGUUGGUGGGGUAGUGGCUUACCAAGGCAUUGACGGGUAGCCGGCCUGAGAGGGUGACCGGCCACGUUGGGACUGAGAUACGGCCCAGACUCCUACGGGAGGCAGCAGUGGAGAAUAUUACACAAUGGGCGGAAGCCUGAUGCAGCAACGCCGCGUGCGGGAUGACGGCCUUCGGGUUGUAAACCGCUUUCGCCUGUGACGAAGCGUGAGUGACGGUAAUGGGUAAAGAAGCAACGGCUAACUACGUG
rnacentral:rRNA from 1 species